rnacentral:rRNA from 1 species
GACGAACGCUGGCGGCGUGCUUAACACAUGCAAGUCGAACGGAAAGGCCCUGCUUUUGUGGGGUGCUCGAGUGGCGAACGGGUGAGUAACACGUGAGUAACCUGCCCUUGACUUUGGGAUAACUUCAGGAAACUGGGGCUAAUACCGGAUAGGAGCUCCUGCUGCAUGGUGGGGGUUGGAAAGUUUCGGCGGUUGGGGAUGGACUCGCGGCUUAUCAGCUUGUUGGUGGGGUAGUGGCUUACCAAGGGUUUGACGGGUAGCCGGCCUGAGAGGGUGGCCGGCCACAUUGGGACUGAGAGACGCACCAGACGCCUACGGGAGGCAGCAGUGGGGAAUAUUGCACAGUGGGCGGAAGCCUGAUGCAGCAACGCCGCGUGCGGGAUGACGGCCUUCGGGGUGUAAACCGCUUUCGCCUGUGACGAAGCGUGAGUGACGGUAACGAGUAAAGAAGCACCGGCUAACUACGUG